rnacentral:lncRNA from 10 species
CCAACAUGUACCUUCAGAUACUGGGAUGAUAGUUCCACGAAUGCAUGCAUUCACCAAACUCAAACAUGUACUCUUCAGAUACUGGCAUGGUAUUUCUAUGAAUGCAUGUGUUCACCAAACUCCAACAUGUACCCUUCAGAUACGGGCAUUUGACUGCAUGAGUAGUUUACUUCAAUGAAAAAGAAAAACUCUGAAAAACAAUAAUAAGUAAAAACAAAAAAUAAUUAAAAAUAUCUCAAAAAAUAAGUAAAACCACAAAAAAUAAGUAACAGCAUCUGAUCUGUACUUAGAUAUAGAAAUACAUACACACACACACUCACACAAAAUAGGAGUCCACAAUGUCUGAUGCACACUUUUGAAGGGAAUUAAGACACGUUACUUUUGUGUUUGGUUCUUAUGCUUUAAAGUGAAAUAAAUCCUCAGCUGGACCUGUCAAAUCUCACUUUCUUCCAAUCAUCACAUCUUUGUUUAAUAUUCAUUCUUAUUUUCUCAGACUCCCCCGCACUGCUGGGUUCCAUCCCAGUUUGUGUUAACCAGUCAGCUCCCCACUGUAGGAGUAGGGGGAACAGUGCUGUGCACCUCCCUCUCCCCUGUACUCCCUCCCCUCCAUCCACUUUCCAAACUCUCACGAUGACAUCCAAGUCCACAACGUCUCUCUUCAGCUGAGGCUCGCAAAGAAGCAGUGGAACCACUGCAUCCAAGAGGAGUGAAGAUGAAGCUGGAAGGAGUGAGAUUCCUUGAGAGGCGGCCCAGGCAGUGGAACAGCAGAGAGACGCUUCAGGCUGCAUCCCAGAUGAUCCUGGGACAGAUGAAUCUCGGCAUCAUGGAUGGCAGCGUUCACUCCACUGGCCCCAGA